rfam:Microgenomates (Roizmanbacteria) bacterium GW2011_GWA2_37_7 TS54_C0054, whole genome shotgun sequence.
UCUGGUUACCUGAGCGACCUGGCACCAACUCUUCUCAUACCGAACAGAGUCUUGAAACAGGUUAGCGCCGAUGAUACUCGCUCCAAAUCGGAGAACGGGGAAAGUAGGUCGUAGCCAGUU